AUUUAAAAGAUAACAAAAAAAACAAAAAAAUUAAAAACGAAAUUGAAAAAAUUAAAAAAAAGAAACGCACAUUUUCUGUAAUGCGUGAUAAAGAAAACGAUGACGAGGCUGACAUGCUGCGUGAUGGCGAUAUCGACAAUCGCAGUUGUGCAUAUAAUUGUGGUAA
rnacentral:rRNA from 1 species